rnacentral:lncRNA from 1 species
CAAGAAAUAAGAUUCACAUACUACAACAAUGGCGUGCUGAUGAUGUAGACGUUCAAACCCGAAAUUAGUGGUAAACGGAUUGAGAAGGGUGAUAAUACUGAAAAAAAGUUCCUGAUGCCUUAAGCCACGAUGAGGAAGUAUUCUUAACUAAAACCUAAACAUACAAAAAAAACAAAUAUGCGCUGGAAAACAUAAAUGUGCGGGAUCUAAGACCAUGCUAUCACUGAGUAAACCCAGAUGGUUAGACACAAAGGUUAAUAGAAAUACAAGGGAGCUUGUGUCCAAAACUAGGCAAAAAUGAUGGCAUCCAGAGUCUCAGUGUGGCUUGACCUAAUACAGGACGAGCCGAUGCUCAGUUCUCAAUCGCAGUUGGUAACAUCAAGUAAAAAUCGACUGAGUAUGAUGUUCAAAAAAGAUGUUAACACAAAAACCACAAACAGAUCUUGCCAUUAAGGUAUACACACCAUAUCACAAAAGGGACCCACGAUUCUAACGCUGUGAACAAAACUCGAUAAAACGAAGGCAGAAGAAGCGAAAGGAGAAAUCGUAGAAGAUCCCACAGACCUGGCUAAACUUCAGCAAAUGCUCCUCUCCAGGGAGUUGCAAAUUCCCGCUCACAAACACAACCCAACCGCCGGACAGUCCCGAGGGUUGGCAGUCGACAGUGGAGAUGUUGUGCUUGCAUUGCUGGAAGGGGAGGCUGUUGAGCUUGUUGCUGAUGCUCUGAGCUCCCUGGAUCUUCUCUCCCUCGAACGUCAGCAUGGAUCCCUCCUGGUACAGAUUGAUGAGCGCCAGGCGGUUGGUGUCGAAGGUGGUGUAGUAGUGCUCCACAAAAUGCUUGCUCAACUGAUC